GGGAUGGGAUCGGGACACAGGGGUGAGUGGAGAUGGGAUCGGGACACAGGGGUGAGUGGAGAUGGGAUCAGGACACAGGGGUGAGUGGAGAUGGGAUCGGGACACAGGGGUGAGUGGAGAUGGGAUCGGGACACAGGGGUGAGUGGGGAUGGGAUCGGGACACAGGGGUGAGUGGAGAUGGGAUCGGGACACAGGGGUGAGUGGAGAUGGGAUCGGGACACAGGGGUGAGUGGAGAUGGGAUCGGGACACAGGGGUGAGUGGAGAUGGGAUCGGGACACAGGGGUGAGUGGAGAUGGGAUCGGGACACGGGGGUGAGUGGAGAUGGGAUCAGGGCACAGGGGUGAGUGGAGAUGGGAUCAGGGCACAGGGGUGAGUGGAGAUGGGAUCAGGACAGAGGGGUAUUAUUGGUAUUAUUGGUAUUAUUUCAACCAGUCCAUCUCCCCAUAGAGAUGUACUAGAGAGCUCAUCUCCUAUCUUUGCAACGGCCUUCUUCUGUGACGUUAAUUGUGCCCUCUAUCCAACUCAAUGCGUCUACCCCCUUUCCCCUCCUCCCUGUGAUAUACGACCUCCUCCCUAGAUGCCGCCUGCAGCUCCCUCCCAGUCAGCAGCCAAUUAGCACGGGC
ensembl:lncRNA